rnacentral:rRNA from 1 species
GACGAACGCUGGCGGCGUGCUUAACACAUGCAAGUCGAACGGAAAGGCCCUGCUUGCAGGGUACUCGAGUGGCGAACGGGUGAGUAACACGUGGGUGAUCUGCCCUGCACUUCGGGAUAAGCCUGGGAAACUGGGUCUAAUACCGGAUAGGAGCCAUUUUUAGUGUGAUGGUUGGAAAGUUUUUUCGGUGUAGGAUGAGCUCGCGGCCUAUCAGCUUGUUGGUGGGGUAAUGGCCUACCAAGGCGGCGACGGGUAGCCGGCCUGAGAGGGUGGACGGCCACAUUGGGACUGAGAUACGGCCCAGACUCCUACGGGAAGCAGCAGUGGGGAAUAUUGCACAAUGGGCGCAAGCCUGAUGCAGCGACGCCGCGUGGGGGAUGACGGCCUUCGGGUUGUAAACUCCUUUCGCUAGGGACGAAGCUUUUUGUGACGGUACCUAGAGAAGAAGCACCGGCUAACUACGUG